CCCUCCAUCCGGCGCCUGCCACGUGGGCCGCCCGGCAGCCGCCCGUGUCCCCCGGCCCUCCUGGGGCUGGCCCGGCGGGCUGAGGCUUCGGUUUCACUUUGCUGUCACCGGACUUCACUUUCGGGCAGAGCCACAGCGGCGGAACGAGGGGUGGAGAGAGCGCGGGGCGGCCGUCAGCUACUGGACGUCUGGACUGUUUCCAGCCCGGGCUACCGUGAAUCAUGCUGUUGUGAACGAGGGCAGGUGUUGAGGUGACCAAAACAAAGUGUUGAUGAGAGCGUGUCCGCCCCCAGUUGGCCCGGCCGUGAACCCGGAAGGCCCCCACUGAGGACACCAGAGGCUCCCAGAACCUCAGGGGCUGGCGGACACAGGGCAGGAGCCAGGCGGGCCGGAAAAGCGGUCCCUUCCCUGUAAGGCAGAGGGUCGCAGGGCUAUGGUGAGCUGAGCAGACCAAAGGGAGAUUUGGGGAAGGGAGGGGAGAGGCCGGGAGGGGAAAGAGGGUGGCACAGGGGUUUCCUCCUAGCCCACGUGGGCCGGUGGCCCCCCUGCACCUGUGCCUGUGUCCUGCCCCACCUUGGGCACGGCGUCCCCAGGCAGGGAAGGAGACGGAGAAAUCGGUUACAGUGUCCGAUUCCGUCAUCCGGGAGCCACCGGCUAGUUGUUUGUUUGUUUGUUAAUUUUCUUUAAUGCUUAUUUAUUUUUAAAAAUUCUUCUAAUAUUUAUUUAUGUUAGAGAGACAGAGACAGACAGAGCGCAAGUGGGGGAGGGGCAGAGAGAGAGGGAGUCACAGAUUCUGAAGCAGGCUCCAGGCUCUCAGCUGUCAGCGCAGAGCCCGACGCGGGGCUCGAACCCACGAACCGUGAGAUCAUGACCUGAACUGAAGUCAGCCGCUUAACCGACUG